UUGCAGCUUAUUAAGCCGACCAGUUGCUCUGCGUGUGCUUCUGGUGACGAUGGCUGCACACAGCGACUCAGUGGUUGUGUAUGUGCUCAGCUGGGAGGUGCUGAGCGCUUUAAGGGACCACUGAGACAACG